rnacentral:rRNA from 1 species
GGUUAAGCGACUAAGCGUACACGGUGGAUGCCCUGGCAGUCAGAGGCGAUGAAGGACGUGCUAAUCUGCGAUAAGCGUCGGUAAGGUGAUAUGAACCGUUAUAACCGGCGAUUUCCGAAUGGGGAAACCCAGUGUGUUUCGACACACUAUCAUUAACUGAAUCCAUAGGUUAAUGAGGCGAACCGGGGGAACUGAAACAUCUAAGUACCCCGAGGAAAAGAAAUCAACCGAGAUUCCCCCAGUAGCGGCGAGCGAACGGGGAGCAGCCCAGAGCCUGAAUCAGUGUGUGUGUUAGUGGAAGCGUCUGGAAAGGCGCGCGAUACAGGGUGACAGCCCCGUACACAAAAAUGCACAUGCUGUGAGCUCGAUGAGUAGGGCGGGACACGUGGUAUCCUGUCUGAAUAUGGGGGGACCAUCCUCCAAGGCUAAAUACUCCUGACUGACCGAUAGUGAACCAGUACCGUGAGGGAAAGGCGAAAAGAACCCCGGCGAGGGGAGUGAAAAAGAACCUGAAACCGUGUACGUACAAGCAGUGGGAGCACGCUUCGGCGUGUGACUGCGUACCUUUUGUAUAAUGGGUCAGCGACUUAUAUUCUGUAGCAAGGUUAACCGAAUAGGGGAGCCGAAGGGAAACCGAGUCUUAACUGGGCGUUAAGUUGCAGGGUAUAGACCCGAAACCCGGUGAUCUAGCCAUGGGCAGGUUGAAGGUUGGGUAACACUAACUGGAGGACCGAACCGACUAAUGUUGAAAAAUUAGCGGAUGACUUGUGGCUGGGGGUGAAAGGCCAAUCAAACCGGGAGAUAGCUGGUUCUCCCCGAAAGCUAUUUAGGUAGCGCCUCGUGAAUUCAUCUCCGGGGGUAGAGCACUGUUUCGGCAAGGGGGUCAUCCCGACUUACCAACCCGAUGCAAACUGCGAAUACCGGAGAAUGUUAUCACGGGAGACACACGGCGGGUGCUAACGUCCGUCGUGAAGAGGGAAACAACCCAGACCGCCAGCUAAGGUCCCAAAGUCAUGGUUAAGUGGGAAACGAUGUGGGAAGGCCCAGACAGCCAGGAUGUUGGCUUAGAAGCAGCCAUCAUUUAAAGAAAGCGUAAUAGCUCACUGGUCGAGUCGGCCUGCGCGGAAGAUGUAACGGGGCUAAACCAUGCACCGAAGCUGCGGCAGCGACGCUGAUGCGUUGUUGGGUAGGGGAGCGUUCUGUAAGCCUGCGAAGGUGUGCUGUGAGGCAUGCUGGAGGUAUCAGAAGUGCGAAUGCUGACAUAAGUAACGAUAAAGCGGGUGAAAAGCCCGCUCGCCGGAAGACCAAGGGUUCCUGUCCAACGUUAAUCGGGGCAGGGUGAGUCGACCCCUAAGGCGAGGCCGAAAGGCGUAGUCGAUGGGAAACAGGUUAAUAUUCCUGUACUUGGUGUUACUGCGAAGGGGGGACGGAGAAGGCUAUGUUGGCCGGGCGACGGUUGUCCCGGUUUAAGCGUGUAGGCUGGUUUUCCAGGCAAAUCCGGAAAAUCAAGGCUGAGGCGUGAUGACGAGGCACUACGGUGCUGAAGCAACAAAUGCCCUGCUUCCAGGAAAAGCCUCUAAGCAUCAGGUAACAUCAAAUCGUACCCCAAACCGACACAGGUGGUCAGGUAGAGAAUACCAAGGCGCUUGAGAGAACUCGGGUGAAGGAACUAGGCAAAAUGGUGCCGUAACUUCGGGAGAAGGCACGCUGAUAUGUAGGUGAGGUCCCUCGCGGAUGGAGCUGAAAUCAGUCGAAGAUACCAGCUGGCUGCAACUGUUUAUUAAAAACACAGCACUGUGCAAACACGAAAGUGGACGUAUACGGUGUGACGCCUGCCCGGUGCCGGAAGGUUAAUUGAUGGGGUUAGCGCAAGCGAAGCUCUUGAUCGAAGCCCCGGUAAACGGCGGCCGUAACUAUAACGGUCCUAAGGUAGCGAAAUUCCUUGUCGGGUAAGUUCCGACCUGCACGAAUGGCGUAAUGAUGGCCAGGCUGUCUCCACCCGAGACUCAGUGAAAUUGAACUCGCUGUGAAGAUGCAGUGUACCCGCGGCAAGACGGAAAGACCCCGUGAACCUUUACUAUAGCUUGACACUGAACAUUGAGCCUUGAUGUGUAGGAUAGGUGGGAGGCUUUGAAGUGUGGACGCCAGUCUGCAUGGAGCCGACCUUGAAAUACCACCCUUUAAUGUUUGAUGUUCUAACGUUGACCCGUAAUCCGGGUUGCGGACAGUGUCUGGUGGGUAGUUUGACUGGGGCGGUCUCCUCCUAAAGAGUAACGGAGGAGCACGAAGGUUGGCUAAUCCUGGUCGGACAUCAGGAGGUUAGUGCAAUGGCAUAAGCCAGCUUGACUGCGAGCGUGACGGCGCGAGCAGGUGCGAAAGCAGGUCAUAGUGAUCCGGUGGUUCUGAAUGGAAGGGCCAUCGCUCAACGGAUAAAAGGUACUCCGGGGAUAACAGGCUGAUACCGCCCAAGAGUUCAUAUCGACGGCGGUGUUUGGCACCUCGAUGUCGGCUCAUCACAUCCUGGGGCUGAAGUAGGUCCCAAGGGUAUGGCUGUUCGCCAUUUAAAGUGGUACGCGAGCUGGGUUUAGAACGUCGUGAGACAGUUCGGUCCCUAUCUGCCGUGGGCGCUGGAGAACUGAGGGGGGCUGCUCCUAGUACGAGAGGACCGGAGUGGACGCAUCACUGGUGUUCGGGUUGUCAUGCCAAUGGCACUGCCCGGUAGCUAAAUGCGGAAGAGAUAAGUGCUGAAAGCAUCUAAGCACGAAACUUGCCCCGAGAUGAGUUCUCCCUGACUCCUUGAGAGUCCUGAAGGAACGUUGAAGACGACGACGUUGAUAGGCCGGGUGUGUAAGCGCAGCGAUGCGUUGAGCUAACCGGUACUAAUGAACCGUGAGGCUUAACCUU